GACGAACGCUGGCGGCGUGCCUAAUACAUGCAAGUUGAGCGCUGAAGGUUGGUACUUGUACCAACUGGAUGAGCAGCGAACGGGUGAGUAACGCGUGGGGAAUCUGCCUUUGAGCGGGGGACGACAUUUGGAAACGAAUGCUAAUACCGCAUAAAAACUUUAAACACAAGUUUUAAGUUUGAAAGAUGCAAUUGCAUCACUCAAAGAUGAUCCCGCGUUGUAUUAGCUAGUUGGUGAGGUAAAGGCUCACCAAGGCGAUGAUACAUAGCCGACCUGAGAGGGUGAUCGGCCACAUUGGGACUGAGACACGGCCCAAACUCCUACGGGAGGCAGCAGUAGGGAAUCUUCGGCAAUGGACGAAAGUCUGACCGAGCAACGCCGCGCGAGUGAAGAAGGUUUUCGGAUCGUAAAACUCUGUUGGUAGAGAAGAACGUUGGUGAGAGUGGAAAGCUCAUCAAGUGACGGUAACUACCCAGAAAGGGACGGCUAACUACGUG
rnacentral:rRNA from 1 species